GCGUGCGCUCAGCCCAGCGUGAGCGGCACCUGCUAGUCCGGGCUCGCCGAGGAGGCCGCCUCGCCGGGCUCCCACCGCCGCGCCCGCCCGAGCGGCUCAGAGGGCUUCGAGGGCUCCGAGGUCGCCCAGCAGCCGCGGUCCCCCGGCCGCCUGCAAGUCCGCCCGGCUCCGAGUCACGUGUCAGUGCCCGAGGCAGAGACUGAGAAAAAAACGCGCUUCAUUCCUUCUUCCACCGCCAUACUGUAUUUUCCUAAAUCUCAUUUUUAUUCCAACAUUUUACUCCCGCUCGUGGAAGGUUUUUCUGGAAAAAAAAAAAAAAAUGAAGUGCGGUUUGGUUUCCUUGUCAACGGAGGAUGAAGUGAACAGCACAACAGCUCGCAGAGAGCAG
rnacentral:lncRNA from 1 species